rnacentral:lncRNA from 1 species
AUCAAAACUACGAGAUUUAAGAGUUUACCGCCUAAGAACAUCUUGGACCGUAAACCCUUUUAUAAGGGACAAAUGAGUGCCUAGUCCUUUCCUAUUGAUAUGAAACUAGCUUAGACUCGUAUACUAAUGCAUUUGGGACUAGAAAGCGCCCAAGAACACAAAGAGUAAGGUGUUCACUGCCCAAGAAGUUCAUGGACCGUGAACUCCAANCUAGAAAACACUCAAGAACACCAAGAGUAAGGUGUUCACGGCCCAAGAAGUUCUUGGACCGUGAACUCCAAACUCAAGGGCCAAAAGGUACUCUAAAGCCUCCUAAAGCCUUGGACAAUAGCCUUGAUUUACUCCUAGUUAAUUUAGGGACUUUAAAUCAUCAAAAACCCAUCCCAAGGAGAGAUUGCGACCGUAAUCUCUAAGGGUUUUGGUCCUUGGUCCGUGAACUCCUC